CAAAUCGGAUGAUCGCGCGAUGAAAGACUCGUGAGGAAGGUCCAUGCCCGCCCAAUCUGAGAUGAUUGGAGUGUUUGUACUGAGCCCAAUAAGCGAAGGCAGUAUUUAACUGACGGCUAGCGAAAGGACUAAAGCUUAGCCAUGUCUGAUUAACUUAUAAAAGUGCUAUAGCGACGAAUAACCGGGAAACCGGGGAAGUGAGACGACGUAAACCCUGCAAGCGGGCAACCCAAACUUUUUGGUAGGGGCGGUCAAUUUGGCUAAAUGAAGUAAAAAUUGACACCGGUUUUAUCCGGUAGAUAGAUGAUCGUCGAAGAACGUGAUCGCCAAUCUCGUUUGGAACAUAACAUGGCCUAUAGAU
rnacentral:RNase_P_RNA from 14 species